UACGGAGGAUCCGAGCGUUAUCCGGAUUUAUUGGGGUUAAAGGGUGCGCAGGCGGGGGAUUAAGUCGGCGGUGAAAUUUUGCAGCUCAACUGUAAAAGUGCCUUCGAAACUGGUUUCCUUGAGUGUAGAUGAAGUAGGCGGAAUUUGUGGUGUAGCGGUGAAAUGCAUAGAUAUCACGAGGAACUCCGAUUGCGCAGGCAGCUUACUAAAUUACAACUGACGCUUAGGCACGAAGGCGUGGGUAUCAAACAGGAUUAGAUACCCUGGUAGUCCCU
rnacentral:rRNA from 1 species